rnacentral:miRNA from 1 species
UACCGAUGAGCUCACAGAUCU